ACGAACGCUGGCGGCGUGCUUAACACAUGCAAGUCGAACGGAAAGGCCCUGCUUUUGUGGGGUGCUCGAGUGGCGAACGGGUGAGUAACACGUGAGUAACCUGCCCUUGACUUUGGGAUAACUUCAGGAAACUGGGGCUAAUACCGGAUAGGAGCUCCUGCUGCAUGGUGGGGGUUGGAAAGUUUCGGCGGUUGGGGAUGGACUCGCGGCUUAUCAGCUUGUUGGUGGGGUAGUGGCAUACCAAGGCUUUGACGGGUAGCCGGCCUGAGAGGGUGACCGGCCACAUUGGGACUGAGAUACGGCCCAGCCUGCUACGGGAGGCAGCGGUGGGGAAUAUUGCACACUGGGCGGAAGCCUGAUGCAGCACCGCCGGGUGCGGGAUGACGGCCUUCGGGUUGUAAACCGCUUUCGCAUGUGACGAAGCGUGAGUGACGGUAAUGGGUAAAGAAGCACCGGCUAACUACGUG
rnacentral:rRNA from 1 species